CGCUCCGGCUGCGCUGCCCGCGGCCGAGGUGCGCGCUGUAUGCCGGUGGGGCAUCGCUCCCAGCUGGGGUUGUUCCCGCUGCGGGGGUCCUGCGCGCCCCGCGGUUGGAGGUCCCGCUCCCACGGCUUGAGCGCAAGUGCUGUGGGCUGCGGCUGAGGGAGAUGGGAUGGUUCGGUGUGGGGAGGAGGAGGUUAGGGGGAGAGCGCGUUGUUCUCUACGCUCUCUGAAAGGAGAGUGGUGAAGUGGGGAUUGGGUCUUUUUUCUCAGGUAGCGAUGAAAGAAUGAGAGGGAACGGCCUCGAGUUGUGCCAGGGAAAGUUCAGGUUGGACGUUAGGAAAAAUUCUUCUCUAGAAGUGGUGAUGCAUUACAACGAGCUGCCCAGGGAGGGGAUGGGGUCACUGGUCCUGGAGGCAUUCAAGAACUGUGUAGAUGUGGCACUGAGGGAUGUGGUCAGUGGGCAGCAUUGGUGGCAGGUGGAUGGUUGGACUAGAGGGUCUUAGUGUUUUUUUCCAACCUUACUGAUUCAAUGACUCAUGUGGGCUUUUCUCUCUUACCAGUGGGAAGCAAGGAGGAAGGAUGCUUAGAAGAAAGGCUGAUGGCCUGUUCUCACUGGCAAUGGGGGAAAGGGUGAGGCAGGACUGGGAAGGAUAAAGCUAUCACUGCCGGCUGGGAGCCAAGCAGACAGGCUGAAGUUUCGUGAGCAGCACUGCACCGACAGACAGAUGUCAUGCCCAGGCUGGCCUGCUGUAUCUAUUCCGGGUUUUGCAGCAGGGCAGAGGCCCGGGGCUGUGCAGCCGGCAGGUGGCAGCAGCUCGUUUCCAGCGGGGCCGGAUGGAUCCCGGUGCGGGGCUGCGGGCACUGAGAUCGGUGGAAUUACUUUCCAGUUUACUGCAGUGGACAAAGUGCGUGGCAAAGACGUGUUUCCUUUUUACACGCUGUGCUGGUUUUGGUUGGAUUACAGCUGUGACCUCAAUCUCUGUACACAAAGUUACUUUCAGGAAGAUUCAGAGGACCUCAGCAUUUCAUGCUGACAACAGGAUGGGAUGGAACAGAGCAGCCCCACGCUCACCAUGGAGGAGGAAAUGGGACCAGUGCUGCACAUUUUCCAGUUUCUGGCAGUCCCCUCUCAGGAGAGGCAUGAAAAGCAGGAGGUCUGGGCUCAAGAAUUUUCCAGCCAACCCAGCAGCCUGCAAAGGGGGCCCCUUACUAACACUGGUUUGGCCCCAUUCUGCAUCAGCUCCAACGUGCUGCCAGUGCUGGACUUUGCUUGGCACAGUGCAAUGCAGAGGAUCUGGUCUGCCAGGAGCAGGACUCACCUCUUGUUGGAGCAGUCAGGAAUGUGGACUCAAGAUGAAAUGA
rnacentral:lncRNA from 1 species